GACGAACGCUGGCGGCGUGCCUAAUACAUGCAAGUUGAGCGAUGAAGAUUGGUGCUUGCGCCAAUUUGAAGAGCAGCGAACGGGUGAGUAACGCGUGGGGAAUCUGCCUUUGAGCGGGGGACAACAUUUGGAAACGAAUGCUAAUACCGCAUAAUAACUUUAAACAUAAGUUUUAAGUUUGAAAGAUGCAAUUGCAUCACUCAAAGAUGAUCCCGCGUUGUAUUAGCUAGUUGGUGAGGUAAAGGCUCACCAAGGCGAUGAUACAUAGCCGCUCUGAGAGGGUGAGCGGCCACAUUGGGACUGAGACACGGCCCAAACUCCUACGGGAGGCAGCAGGAGUGAAUCUUCGGCAAUGGACGAAAGUCUGACCGAGCAACGCCGCGGGAGUGAAGAAGGUUGUCGGAUCGUAAAACUCUGUUGGUAGGGAAGAACGUUGGUGAGAGUGGAAAGCUCAUCAAGUGACGGUAACUACUCAGAAAGGGACGGCUAACUACGUG
rnacentral:rRNA from 1 species